AUUGAACGCUGGCGGCAGGCCUAACACAUGCAAGUCGAGCGAGCGGCGGACGUGUGAGUAAUGUAUGUGGAUCUGCCCGAUAGAGGGGGAUAACUACUGGAAACGGUAGCUAAUACCGCAUACUAUUGGAGCGGCCGAUAUCGGAUUAGCUUGUUGGUGGGGUAAAGUCUCACCAAGGCCACGAUCCGUAGCGGGUUUGAGAGGAAGACCAGCCACACGGGGACUGAGACACGGCCCAGACUCCGACGGGAGGCAGCAGUGGGGAAUUUUGGACAAUGGGUGAAAGCCUGAUCCAGCCAUCCCGCGUGUAUGAGAAGGCCUUCGGGUUGUAAAGUACUUUUGGCAGAGAAGCGGUAUCUGCAGAAUAAGCACCGGCUAACUACGUGCCAGCAGCCGCGGUAAUUC
rnacentral:rRNA from 1 species